UACGGAGGGUGCAAGCGUUAUCCGGAAUCACUGGGUUUAAAGGGUGCGUAGGCGGCUUGAUAAGUCAGGGGUGAAAGCCCGCAGCUUAACUGCGGAACUGCCUUUGAUACUGUCGAGCUUGAAAGAGGUUGAGGUCAGCGGAACGUGACGUGUAGCGGUGAAAUGCAUAGAUAUGUCGCAGAACACCGAUGGCGAAGGCAGCUUGCUGGGCCUAUUUUGACGCUGAUGCAAGAAAGCGUGGGGAGCGAACAGG
rnacentral:rRNA from 1 species